GAUGAACGCUGACAGAAUGCUUAACACAUGCAAGUCAACUUGAACUUCGGUUUGGGUGGCGGACGGGUGAGUAACGCGUAAAGAACUUGCCUCACAGCUAGGGACAACAUUUGGAAACGAAUGCUAAUACCUGAUAUUAUGAUUUUAGGGCAUCCUAGAAUUAUGAAAGCUAUAUGCGCUGUGAGGGAGCUUUGCGUCCCAUUAGCUAGUUGGAGAGGUAACGGCUCACCAAGGCGAUGAUGGGUAGCUGGCCUGAGAGGGUGAACGGCCACAAGGGGACUGAGACACGGCCCUUACUCCUACGGGAGGCAGCAGUGGGGAAUAUUGGACAAUGGACCAAGAGUCUGAUCCAGCAAUUCUGUGUGCACGAUGAAGUUUUUCGGAAUGUAAAGUGCUUUCAGUUGGGAAGAAAAAAAUGACGGUACCAACAGAAGAAGUGACGGCUAAAUACGUG
rnacentral:rRNA from 1 species